ensembl:lncRNA
GGCUCCUGUUAUCCAAGGCAAACAGAGGACUUGUACACACAGACAGACAACCAGACAGACAGACCUGCUGCACGCUGAUUCCCAGCACAGCCACAGCUCUACUGAACUUGGCACCGGCUGCCGUAUUCUCUGAGAAGGAAAAAACGCUGCACACCUCCGUGGGAGAACUCAGAUAAAGACUUGCCUUCAGUCUUGUAGUGGCGCUGUCACACACUGAUAUACAAAUACGCAUUUAGACACACGCAUACAGAAACACACACACACACCAGGCAGUCAGCCAGGCACACACUCACUCACACUCACACUCACACUCACAGAGGAGCAAACAGGCUCUUUCUCUCCCCCUCUCUCUCACCCUUGCUCGCUCAGCUGCUCUCCCUCUCUCUCUCUCUCUCUCUCUCUCUCCCUCCCCCUCUCUCUCUCUCCCUCCCUCCCUCCCAUCCACACACACACGCACACACCACUACAGUAUAUCAGCUAGCGACUACCGGAGAGCCAGAGGGGAGUGCAGAAAUGAAUGUGAAGAUCCUGACGCUGGUGAUUGUGCUCUUGGUGUCUCUGCUGUGUUCUGCCAGUGCUGCGCAGAGCCCAGUUCCGGUCCGAUGCUCUCGUAUCCAGUCUGUGGCAGCUGCUUGUUUACACAUCAAGGGCCUCUCAGGCUGCCUCAGCCUCUGCUUCACGGAAGGGGAGAACGGAGAGCAAGAUGUUGGGUGUGGAGGAGUAGGAGGAAGGAGGGAUGGAGGGACAGAUGAGGAAAGGGAAAAAAACAAGUGAGAGGCAAUGUUUUCCAAAUGCUCUGCGAAACUGUGAAAGUGAAUCGAUGAGACGGUGACCAAUUGAUUCAUAAUCAGUGUAGCUGAGCAAUGAGCGAAGACCAUUCCAGUAAACAAACAUAAGAUUCGUUGAAACGGUGUAUUCAUUCACUGUUACACAAAAACAAUUAAACACAGCAAGGAUUCAAUUUCAAAGGAUUCAAUUUCAGAGAGUCACGCUUGAGGAGCCUUGUUGAUUCUGUAUCCAUAAAUAACCUUCUCACCUGUUGGUAGUUUACUCGUUGACCUGGAAGGACAUCUAAUUUCAUAUUUCUUGGCGACGGAGUUAAGGCUGGAGCCACUGGUAAAUGUACAAGGCCAGAGAUUUGUCAUGUGGUCCCUCCCGGCAUUCUACAUAAACCAGAUUUUCUCUGCUAAAGAAAUAGUGCCUCAUUCUCCAUUCCCUGUGUGCUUCCCCCCACUGACGAG